rnacentral:misc_RNA from 1 species
GAUGAAGAACGUAGCGAAAUGCGAUAAGUAAUGUGAAUUGCAGAAUUCAGUGAGUCAUCGAAUCUUUGAACGCACCUUGCGCCCUUUGGCUAUUCUGAAGGGCAUGCCUGUUUGAGUAUCAUGAACACCUCAACUCUCAUGGUUCGCCAUGAUGAGCUUGGACUUUGGGGGUCUUGCUGGCCUACGGUCGGCUCCUCUCAAAUGAAUCAGCUUGCCAGUGUUUGGUAGAGUCGCAGGUGUGAUAACUAUCUACGCUUGUGGUUUUCUGCCAGAUAACCUUCAGUGAUGGAGGUUCGCUGGAGCUUAUAAAUGUCUCUCCCCAGUGAGGACAGCUUUUUGAACGUUUGAUCUCAAAUCAGGUAGGACUACCCGCUGAACUUAAGCAUAUCAAUAAGCGGAGGA